ACAAGAAUCGCUUGAACCCAGGAGGUGGAAGUUGCAGUGAGCCGAGAUCUUGCCACUGCACUCCAGCGUGGGGAACAGAA
rnacentral:snRNA from 1 species